UCAAACUUGGUCAUUUAGAGGAAGUAAAAGUCGUAACAAGGUUUCCGUAGGUGAACCUGCGGAAGGAUCAUUACAAGGUUUUCAAAAUGCCGAAGGGGGAGGGAGGGGGUAUCCUCUCUCCUUUCUCCUUCGGCAUGAAUAACCACCGAUCAUUUCCUGUGUGCACUCAUUUCUUGGGAGCCGAAUUUCGGUUCCCCAACCUUUCUCAGCCUUAUCGUUUGUCUGAUAAAUCUUUUUGUAAAAAGAUAAAUACAACUUUCAACAACGGAUCUCUUGGCUCUCGCAUCGAUGAAGAACGCAGC
rnacentral:misc_RNA from 1 species